rnacentral:rRNA from 1 species
GACGAACGCUGGCGGCGUGCCUAAUACAUGCAAGUCGACCUUAGUGGCGAACGGGUGAGUAACACGUGGGUAACCUGCCCAUCAGAAAGGGAUAACACUUGGAAACAGGUGCUAAUACCGUAUACUGAUGGAUGGACCCGCGGUGCAUUAGCUAGUUGGUGAGGUAACGGCUCACCAAGGCCACGAUGCAUAGUGGAGCUGAGAGGGUGAUAGGCAACACUGGGACUGAGACACGCCACAAACCCCCACGGGAGGCAGCAGUAGGGAAUCUUCGGCAAGGGACGAACGUCUGACCGAGCAACGCCGCGUGAGUGAAGAAGUUUUUCGGAUCGUAAAACUCUGUUGUUAGAGAAGAGGUAUCUAACCAGAAAGCCACGGCUAACUACGUGCCAGCAGCCGCGGUAAUUC